rnacentral:ncRNA from 1 species
GCGGAUGUUACUUUUAGGACGCCGCCGGCACCUUAUGAGAUAUCAAAGUGUUUGGGUUCCAGGGGAAGUAUGGUCGCAAGGCUGAAACUUAAAGGAAUUGACGGAAGGGCACCACCAGGAGUGGAGCCUGCGGCUUAAUUUGA